UACAGAGGGGGCAAGCGUUGUUCGGAAUUACUGGGCGUAAAGGGCGCGUAGGCGGCCUUCUAAGUCGAACGUGAAAUCCCCGGGCUCAACCCGGGAACUGCGUCCGAUACUGGAAGGCUUGAGUCCGGGAGAGGGAUGCGGAAUUCCAGGUGUAGCGGUGAAAUGCGUAGAUAUCUGGAGGAAUACCGGUGGCGAAGGCGGCAUCCUGGACCAUUACUGACGCUGAGGCGCGAAAGCUAGGGGAGCAAACGGG
rnacentral:rRNA from 1 species